GGGUUAAGUCCCGUAACGAGCGCAACCCUUGUCCUUAGUUACCAGCACGUUAUGGUGGGCGACUCUAAGGAGAACUGCCGGUGCAAACCGGAGGAAGGUGGGGACGACGUCAAGUCAUCAUGGCCCUUACGGCCUGGGCUACACACGUGCUACAAUGGUCGGUACAAAGGGUUGCCAAGCCGCGAGGUGGAGCUAAUCCCAUAAAACCGAUCGUAGUCCGGAUCGCAGUCUGCAACUCGACUGCGUGAAGUCGGAAUCGCUAGUAAUCGUGAAUCAGAAUGUCACGGUGAAUACGUUCCCGGGCCUU
rnacentral:rRNA from 1 species